CCUACGGGGGGCAGCAGUCGAGAAUCAUUCACAAUGGGGGAAACCCUGAUGGUGCGACGCCGCGUGGGGGAAUGAAGGUCUUCGGAUUGUAAACCCCUGUCAUGUGGGAGCAAAUUAAAAAGAUAGUACCACAAGAGGAAGAGACGGCUAACUCUGUGCCAGCAGCCGCGGUAAUACAGAGGUCUCAAGCGUUGUUCGGAAUCACUGGGCGUAAGGCGUGCGUAGGCUGUUUCGUAAGUCGUGUGUGAGAGGCGCGGGCUCAACCCGCGGACGGCGCAUGAUACUGCGAGACUAGAGUAAUGGAGGGGGAACCGGAAUUCUCGGUGUAGGAGUGAAAUGCGUAGAUAUCGAGAGGAACACUCGUGGCGAAGGCGGGUUCCUGGACAUUAACUGACGCUGAGGCACGAAGGCCAGGGGAGCGAAAGGGAUUAGAUACCCGGGUAGUC
rnacentral:rRNA from 1 species